rnacentral:lncRNA from 1 species
AUUUGAACCAAAAACUUGAGAAAAAAACCCCAAAACCAAAACCAAAUCUAAAGUAACAAAGGGUGAGGAAAAACAGAUGUGCCACCCGUUUUUUUACUAACUGGCAGAGAGGGGGGCAAUUAUAAACCGCGGCCGGCGGUAGAAGGGAGCAGGGCUUGGGACCAGACGCCCGCCACAGCGCCUGCGGGGCCGGGGACGCCACCGGGGCCGGGCCGCCCGCAGCCAGCACCGCCGGGUCGGGUCGAGCCGGGCCGGGGGUGGCUCUUCCCCUGCCGGAGGAACGGAGCGGGCCCGGGGCGGCCUGAUGUCGGCGGGGAAGCGGUGCUGAGGGAAUGGCGGAGGGUGGGGGGGUGUGUGAGGAGAGGCGGGCGGGCGCCACAGAGGGUUAAGGGCGGCGGGCCCGGGGCAGGCUGGGAGUUGUAGGCGCGGCGGAAUGCCGGGAGCUGUCGUAAACGCCGCCCGCUCGCCGUGGCGGGCCCCACAGGCGGCACCGCGGCCCGGUCGGCACCACCGGCCUCCAAACGCCGCGUUGAGGGAGGCCCGGGCCCCGUCGGUGCUGCUGGAGGAACGUUGGCUUUGUGUAUGUGCGUCCCCCCCACCCCGAGCCAUGAGGAUCAGCCCCAGGAUGGCUAGCGCGGCCCGGCCCGGGGUGGCCGCCUCAGGCCCCGCGUUUGGCCGCCUUCCGUGUGAUGGAGCGACGUAGCCCAGUUGUGGGUUGACUUUUAGGGCUUGCAUCACCCCCACCCCCGGACGGGUUUGCAUCUGCGGUUGUCUGGAGCUGGCCACCUGCCCCAACUGCCAGGAGAUGCUGCAGAGAUGUGGAUCUCCAGAGCCUUGGCAAGGUAUCCUCACUCCAUGCCUUAGAAUCAUAGAAUCAUUGAGGUUGGAAGAGACCCUUGGGAUCAUCGAGUCCAACCAUCUCCCCUACUCUACAAAGUCCUCCCCUACACCAUGUCCCUCAGCACUGCAUCUAAACGGCCCUUAAACACAUCCAGGGAUGGUGACUCCACCCCCUCCCUGGGCAGCCUGUUCCAAUGCCCGACCACUCUUUCAGUGAAAAAUUCCUUCCUAAUGUUCAAUCUAAACCUCCCCUGUUGGAGCUUGAAGCCGUUCCCUCUCGUUCUAUUGUUAAUUACCUGUGAGAAGAGACCAGCACCAACCUCUCUACAGUGUCCUUUCAAGUAGUUGUAGAGAGUGAUGAGGUCUCCCCUCAGCCUCCUCUUCCUCAAACUAAACAGUCCCAGCUCCUUCAACCUCUCUUCAUAAGAUUGAUGCUCCAGCCCCCUCACCAGCUUCGUUGCCCUCCUCUGCACUCGCUCCAGCACCUCCAGAUCUCUCUUGUAUUGAGGUGCCCAAAACUGGACACAACACUCUUGGUGUGGGAGUGAAGUCUUCCAGAAGUCUGGUGGUUCCCAUCAGCUCAGCUCCUCGCUGGGAAGCGGGAACCAACCUGCAGAGGUUGGGAAUAACCCUGGAAAAGGGGAUGAUG